rnacentral:rRNA from 1 species
UACGUAGGGUGCGAGCGUUGUCCGGAAUUAUUGGGCGUAAAGAGCUCGUAGGCGGUUUGUCGCGUCGGAUGUGAAAGCCCGGGGCUUAACCCCGGGUCUGCAUUCGAUACGGGCAGACUAGAGUGUGGUAGGGGAGAUCGGAAUUCCUGGUGUAGCGGUGAAAUGCGCAGAUAUCAGGAGGAACACCGGUGGCGAAGGCGGGUCUCUGGGCCGAAAUUGACGCUGAGGAGCGAAAGCGUGGGGAGCGAACAGG